UACGUAGGGCGCAAGCGUUGUCCGGAAUUAUUGGGCGUAAAGAGCUCGUAGGCGGCUUGUCACGUCGGAUGUGAAAGCCCGAGGCUUAACCUCGGGUCUGCAUUCGAUACGGGCUAGCUAGAGUGUGGUAGGGGGAAAUCGGAAUUCCUGGUGUAGCGGUGAAAUGCGCAGAUAUCAGGAGGAACACCGGUGGCGAAGGCGGAUCUCUGGGCCAUUACUGACGCUGAGGAGCGAAAGCGUGGGGAGCGAACAGG
rnacentral:rRNA from 1 species